GAUGAACGCUGGCGGCGUGCCUAAUACAUGCAAGUCGCGCGAAUGGAUUAAGAGCUUGCUCUUAUGAAGUUAGCGGCGGACGGGUGAGUAACACGUGGGUAACCUGCCCAUAAGACUUGGAUAACUCCGGGAAACCGGGGCUAAUACCGGAUAACAUUUUGAACGUCAUGGUUCGAAAUUGAAAGGCGGCUUCGGCUGUCACUUAUGGAUGGAUCCGCGUCGCAUUAGCUAGUUGGUGAGGUAACGGCUCACCAAGGCAACGAUGCGUAGCCGACCUGAGAGGGUGAUCGGCCACACUGGGACUGAGACACGGCCCAGACUCCUACGGGAGGCAGCAGUAGGGAAUCUUCCGCAAUGGACGAAAGUCUGACGGAGCAACGCCGCGUGAGUGAUGAAGGCUUUCGGGUCGUAAAACUCUGUUGUUAGGGAAGAACAAGUGCUAGUUGAAUAAGCUGGCACCUUGACGGUACCUAACCAGAAAGCCACGGCUAACUACGUGCCAGCCGCCGCAGUAA
rnacentral:rRNA from 1 species